rnacentral:rRNA from 1 species
UACGUAGGGUGCGAGCGUUGUCCGGAAUUAUUGGGCGUAAAGAGCUCGUAGGCGGUGUGUCACGUCGGCCGUGAAAACCUGGGGCUUAACUCUGGGCGUGCGGUCGAUACGGGCAUCACUAGAGUUCGGCAGGGGAGACUGGGAUUCCUGGUGUAGCGGUGAAAUGCGCAGAUAUCAGGAGGAACACCGGUGGCGAAGGCGGGUCUCUGGGCCGAUACUGACGCUGAGGAGCGAAAGCGUGGGGAGCGAACAGG